CCCAGCCUACCCCUAUUCUAAAAUUCAUUUUCCCCGGACACAUUUUGCCAAUUCCAGAUUGGAAGCGAAACAAUCAAGAACGUCAGAGCAGUUAAAUUACAGGGGUAAAAAAAAGAACGCACUUUUUGAUUGCAUUAAUUUUUCAUUCCCCUGAGAAAUCCCUUUUUGAACAGCAAUCACAUCAAUGGAGAAAGAAAAGAAAACAGAUGAAAAAGAAGAAAUUGAAGAAGCUAUUGAGCUGAUUCUCUUCCAUGUCUCAGAAUGCUACGUCUAUUUGUUUUUUAGGUGCUGCUGUACUGUGGUUUGCAAAGUUGUGAAACUAAAUGCUUGAUGGGCAAAAGAUUGAUGUAUUCAUUUCCAGAAGUUAUAACUGUAAGCAAAUUUCAAUGCCAAAAUUGUUAACAUAUCAUUUUCAAACAUCUUCAAGUGGAGCUUGCAGUUUCAACUAUCCUGCUUCAAUAGAAAAUUUACUGUACUAAAAAAAGUUCUCCAACUAUGCAAAAUUUAUGUCUAGAUUGUAUGACUGAUGACAAAGGGGAGAAGCCAAUAUUUGAUUAAUUGAAGAGAAGAAAUUUCUGAACCAUUUCUAAAAUAUUCAUUCUUACAAAUUGAGGUCGAGUCCAGAAAUGAACUUGUAUGAGCCAAAAUUGACAAGUUGAGAGCUGACGCUUGUGGAACAAAGUAGAUUUUUGAACCUCAAAAAGUGAUGGGUAAGAUGCACAAGUCAACUCCAUCAGCCACAUCUUUGCUGGACAAGAAGUCCCGCCGAAAAUGUUGUAUCAAGAUUCAAGAGGAGCUCUCCCAAUAUUCUUGCAAGAGAGGAUAAUUUUGACGAGAGAGACCUCAAGAGGAUCUUACAGAAUAUCUUCAUAUGUUAUAGCAAACACCCUAGUGUUUGUUGCCUUCCUUUUGCAACUAUCUCCUCUUUACUACUCCACUUCACUGGCUAGUUGGACUCAGACACAAAAUCGAUGGAUUCCUUUAUUUCUGUCUGGUGGCUUGGAUGGUUCUCUCAAUGGCAAAUUCUUUUGCAGCUGCUUCAGUGCUCUGGUACCGAAUUUCAUAUCAGGAAUGUCUUUGAUUGCAGGCAUCAUGGGUGCAUUCUUGUUUUCUCGGGGUAAUUCAUAUCUAACAAAGAAAUACCCAAGUAUUGGCUCUUCAUGCACUAUUUGAGCUUGAUGAAGUAUCCUCUUGAACGUCGUCUACUAAACGAGUUUGGAGGAUACAAAGGCCGAGGGAAAUGUGUAGAAGGGUUGAAGUAGGAUGUUUGAUGUAUGGUGAUGCAUUCUUGAGAAAUCUAGGCAUAGAAGAGUCACAAAAAUAGAGUAACUUAGUUGUAAUGGUGGCUUUCAUCGUGGGCUACAGACUUCCCUGUUAUCCGACUCUUUGGUAUAGAUCUUGCAGGACCAGAAGUUAGAAGCAGCUAAUGAUACCCAUUGCUGAUAAAUUUUCUAGGGAUUGUUUGGACAAGUAGAAGCAACUAAUGAUACCAAUUGCUGAUAAAUUUCCAGGCUUUGUACAUGAAAAACAUGGGGAGCAGAGAGUGUUGUUAUGUCUUUAAAUUAGAGAAAAUACCCUUUGUAUAUGAUACCCUUUGUAUAUGCACUUUUCUUGGUCAGCUCUCUUGGCGUUCCUGAUGGUUUGUUGAGCCCGAUUGCAUUCAAUUGGAUUGAAGCAAACUCCUGGUCCUA